CACAGAUCUGUGUAUUGAAACUCCGAUGCUUGACUGAUUAAACAAAUGUAUUUGACUUUAUCUUAUCGUCUUAUUUGGCUCUUGCUUAGGAUCAAUGUAAUACCAAUUUAACGAAUGUGCAGGGAUAUAUAGUUAAAUAUCUAUCUAUCUAU